GAGGAUAUAGCUCAAGUGGUAGAGCUCAUGCUUAGCAUGCAUGAAAUCCUGGGUUCAAUCCCCAGUGCUCCUC
rfam:Camelus ferus unplaced genomic scaffold scaffold519, whole genome shotgun sequence.